AAUUAUUCUAUAUUAAAGGAUUAAGUGUAGGUGUAUCUGUUCUUAUCAGUUUAAUAUCUGAUACGCGCCCUAUCUGGGUGCCAUAUAUUAAAUGGAUUUUUGAAACAGGGAGAUGGAAGAAGAGCUUGCUCUGUCCACUCCACGCAUUGAUCUGGUAUUGCAGUACCUCCAGGACCGGUGCAAAAAAA